rnacentral:rRNA from 1 species
UACGUAGGUGGCAAGCGUUGUCCGGAAUUAUUGGGCGUAAAGCGCGCGCAGGCGGUCCUUUAAGUCUGAUGUGAAAGCCCCCGGCUCAACUGGGGAGGGUCACGCGAUACUGUUCGACUCGAAGGCAGGAGAGGGUAGUGGAAUUCCCGGUGUAGUGGUGAAAUGCGCAGAUAUCAGGAGGAACACCAAUGGCGAAGGCAGCUCGCUGGGACGGUACUGACGCUGAGGCGCGAAAGCGUGGGGAGCAAACAGG